rnacentral:rRNA from 1 species
UACGUAGGGGGCAAGCGUUGUCCGGAAUCAUUGGGCGUAAAGCGCGCGUAGGCGGCUACUUAAGUCGGAUGUGAAAGCCCUUGGCUCAACUGAGGAAGUGCACCCGAAACUGAGUGGCUUGAGUACUAAAGAGGGUCGCGGAAUUCCCGGUGUAGAGGUGAAAUUCGUAGAUAUCGGGAGGAACACCGGUGGCGAAGGCGGCGACCUGGGUAGAUACUGACGCUGAGGCGCGAAAGCGUGGGGAGCAAACAGG